UACGUAGGGUGCAGGCGUUAAUCGGAAUUACUGGGCGUAAAGCGUGCGCAGGCGGUCUUUUAAGUCAGAUGUGAAAUCCCCGGGCUUAACCUGGGAAUGGCAUUUGGGACUGCAAGGCUUGAGUGCGGCAGGAGGAGACUGGAAUUCCUGGGUGUAGCAGUGAAAUGCGUAGGAUAUCAGGAGGAACACCGAUGGCGAAGGCAGGUCUCUGGGACUGACACUGACGCUCAUGCACGAAAGCGUGGGGAGCAAACAGG
rnacentral:rRNA from 1 species